GCCGUGGUAGCUCAGUGGUAGAGCAUCUGACUCGUAAUCUGAAGGUUGGGGGUUCGAAUCCCUCCCACGGCA
rnacentral:tRNA from 1 species